rnacentral:lncRNA from 1 species
GAACGUCUGGGAGCCAGGGCCGCAAGCGGCACUCAGGGGCCUGCGCGGGUUCGGGUGGGCCGGGCUCAGAAGGCCCCGCGCUCAGCGCAGCCAGCCGGUGCCUGCUGGGCUUGAUCAGGAGAUGAGUUCCCUCUGGGCUGCCAGAGUGCCUGGGCUAGGUGCUGCAAAGUCCUAUAGCGACUGCCAUUGAGAAGUGAAGCCGGCUAGGCUUCUGGGUCAGGUGAGGACCUGAAGAACGUUUCUGUCUAGCUGAAGGUUUGUAAACGCACCAAUCAGUGCUUUGUCAAAACGGACCCAUCAGCUCUCUGUAAAACGGACCAAUCAGCUCUCUGUAAAAUGGACCAAUCAGCUCUCUAUAAAAUGGACCAAGCAGUAGGAUGUGGGUGGGGCCAGAUAAGGGAACGAAAGCAGGCCUCCCAAGCCAGGAGCGGCAAACUGCUGGGAUCCAUUUCCAUGCUGUGGACUCUUUGUGCUUUGCUCUUUGCAGUAAAUCUUGCUGCUGCUCACUUUUUGGGUCUGCACCACCUUUAUGAGCUGUAACACUCACCGCGAAGGUCUGCAGCUUUACACCUGAAGCCAGGGAGACCACGAACUCAUCAGGAGGAACGAACAACUCCAGACGCGCGGCCUUUAAGAGCUGUAACACUCAACGCGAAGGUCUGCAGCUUCACUCUUGAAGUCAGCGAAACCGCAAACCCACCAGAAGGAAGAAACUCCGGACACAUCUGAACACCUGAAGGAACAAACCCCGGACACACCAUCUCUAAGAACUGUAACACUCACCGCCAGGGUCCGCGGCUUCAUUCUUGAAUCAGUGAGACCAAGAACCCACCAAUUCCAGACACAGAAGAUGAUCCUCAAUCAAUCACUUAAAGGCCUGAAUAGAACCAAAAGUCUGACCUGCCCAUGAGUAACAGAGAGCUCCUUCUGCCUGAUUGCUUCAGCUGAGAUAUCGGCCUUUCCCUGCCUUUGGAAUUGAACUGCAACACUGGCUCUUCUUGGGCCUCAAGACUGCCAGCUUUUGAACUGUAACCACACUAUCAUCUCUCCUGGUUCUCAGGCCUUUGGACUCAAAUCAGAAGCAUACCAGGGGCUCUCCUACAUCUCCAACUUGCUAACUGUGAUCUUGAGACUUCUUAGCCUCCAUAAUCACAUGAGUCAAUUGUUGGUUCUGCUUCUCUGGAGAACCCUAAUCCAUCACUCUACAUCUUUGUUCCAUUAUACAUAUUGCUUCCCAGCAUAUUAAAUAAUUUAUCGAUUAUAUUUUUGGUUUAUUAUUUAUUUCUCCUACUGGAAUGUAAGUUUCACAGAGCUCUUGUUCAUUGCUAGAUCUCAAGCCUGGCAUCUAGUAGGUAUUCAGCAAAUAGCUGUUGAAAGAUGAAAAAAUAAAUCUAAUCUGCCAAGUGGAGGUAGGUACUGCGAAG